AGAGUUUGAUCCUGGCUCAGGACGAACGCUGGCGGCGCGCCUAACACAUGCAAGUCGAACGAGCGAGAGAGAGCUUGCUUUCUCGAGCGAGUGGCGAACGGGUGAGUAACGCGUGAGGAACCUGCCUCAAAGAGGGGGACAACAGUUGGAAACGACUGCUAAUACCGCAUAAGCCCACGACCCGGCAUCGGGUAGAGGGAAAAGGAGCAAUCCGCUUUGAGAUGGCCUCGCGUCCGAUUAGCUAGUUGGUGAGGUAACGGCCCACCAAGGCGACGAUCGGUAGCCGGACUGAGAGGUUGAACGGCCACAUUGGGACUGAGACACGGCCCAGACUCCUACGGGAGGCAGCAGUGGGGAAUAUUGCACAAUGGGGGAAACCCUGAUGCAGCGACGCCGCGUGGAGGAAGAAGGUCUUCGGAUUGUAAACUCCUGUUGUUGAGGAAGAUAAUGACGGUACUCAACAAGGAAGUGACGGCUAACUACGUGCCAGCAGCCGCGGUAAAACGUAGGUCACAAGCGUUGUCCGGAAUUACUGGGUGUAAAGGGAGCGCAGGCGGGAAGACAAGUUGGAAGUGAAAUCCAUGGGCUCAACCCAUGAACUGCUUUCAAAACUGUUUUUCUUGAGUAGUGCAGAGGUAGGCGGAAUUCCCGGUGUAGCGGUGGAAUGCGUAGAUAUCGGGAGGAACACCAGUGGCGAAGGCGGCCUACUGGGCACCAACUGACGCUGAGGCUCGAAAGUGUGGGUAGCAAACAGGAUUAGAUACCCUGGUAGUCCACACUGUAAACGAUGAUUACUAGGUGUUGGAGGAUUGACCCCUUCAGUGCCGCAGUUAACACAAUAAGUAAUCCACCUGGGGAGUACGACCGCAAGGUUGAAACUCAAAGGAAUUGACGGGGGCCCGCAC
rnacentral:rRNA from 1 species